GUGGGGAAUCUUCCGCAAUGGACGAAAGUCUGACGGAGCAACGCCGCGUGAACGAUGACGGCCUUCGGGUUGUAAAGUUCUGUUAUACGGGACGAAUGGUACGACGGCCAAUACCCGUCGUAAGUGACGGUACCAUAAGAGAAAGCCACGGCUAACUACGUGCCAGCAGCCGCGGUAACACGUAGGUGGCAAGCGUUGUCCGGAAUCAUUGGGCGUAAAGGGCGCGCAGGCGGCGUCGGAAGUCGGUCAUAAGAGUGCGGGGCUUAGCCCCGUGAGGGGACCGAAACUGCGAUGCUAGAGUAUCGGAGAGGAAAGCGGAAUUCCUAGUGUAGCGGUGAAAUGCGUAGAUAUUAGGAGGAACACCAGUGGCGAAAGCGGCUUUCUGGACGACAACUGACGCUGAGGCGCGAAAGCCAGGGGAGCAAACGGGAUUAGAUACCCCGGUAGUCC
rnacentral:rRNA from 1 species